CCUANGGGUGGCUGCAGUCGAGGAUCAUUUGCAAUGGGCGCAAGCCUGACAAUGCGACGCUGCGUGGAGGAUGACGGCCUUCGGGUUGUAAACUCCUGUCGUCCGGGAACAAUAUCGGGAGGGUUAAUAUCCCUGCCGGUUGAUGGUACCGGAAGAGGAAGUCACGGCUAACUCUGUGCCAGCAGCCGCGGUAAUACAGAGGUGGCUAGCGUUGUUCGGAUUUACUGGGCGUAAAGGAUGCGUAGGUGGCCUUGUAUGUCAGAUGUGAAAUUUCAUUGCUUAACGAUGAAAGUGCAUUUGAAACUACUUGGCUUGAGUACAGGAGAGGAGCAUGGAAUUCUUGGUGUAGCGGUGAAAUGCGUAGAUAUCAAGAAGAACACCGGAGGCGAAGGCGAUGCUCUAGAAUGAUACUGACACUGAGGCAUGAAAGCUGGGGGAGCAAACAGGAUUAGACACCCCUNUANUC
rnacentral:rRNA from 1 species